rnacentral:rRNA from 1 species
UACGAAGGGUGCAAGCGUUACUCGGAAUUACUGGGCGUAAAGCGUGCGUAGGCGGUUUGUUAAGUCCGUUGUGAAAGCCCUGGGCUCAACCUGGGAAUUGCAGUGGGAUACUGGCAAGCUAGAGUACGGUAGAGGAUGGUGGAAUUCCCGGGUGUAGCGGUGAAAUGCGUAGAGAUCGGGAAGAACAUCGGUGGCGAAGGCGGCUCACGUGGCCCAUAACUGACGCUGAGGCACGAAAGCGUGGGGAGCAACAGGG